CAGUCGCCGCGGGAAUACGUAGGUGGCAAGCGUUGUCCGGAAUUAUUGGGCGUAAAGGGCUCGCAGGCGUUUUCUUAAGUCUGAUGUGAAAGCCCCCGGCUCAACCGGGGAGGGUCAUUGGAAACUGGGAAACUUGAGUGCAGAAGAGGAGAGUGGAAUUCCACGUGUAGCGGUGAAAUGCGUAGAGAUGUGGAGGAACACCAGUGGCGAAGGCGACUCUCUGGUCUGUAACUGACGCUGAGGGGCGAAAGCGUGGGGAGCGAACAGGAUUAGAGACCCCAGUAGUCCCUGUCUCUUAUAC
rnacentral:rRNA from 1 species